UUUUUUUUUUUUUUUUUUUAAAGAAUCUCUGUUCCACCUGUGCAUCUUACUCUCUAUCAAUCAGCACAUCAUCCAAGGUAAGCUCAUCAAUGCUGGAUCCUUAACUCACUGCAUCACAAGUGAACACUGGGAACUUCUUAUCUUCAAGGCUAAUUUUAUUGUGACAAGGGCAUAAUUCUGGCUUUUUUUCCACCAGGGAAAGUGUGGUGCCUCCAGGACACGUGUCACCCCACUACGUGUGGUUUCCUGUCAGUCUGGAGGUUCCUGCUUCUCUUUGUCUGCCCAAGGACCCCUGUUGUUUACAGGAUGUAUGGUUUCCUGCCAUUUGGCCUGUGUCUCCCUUUCUCUGCUCACAUCUAGCUAUCGACCUGCUCUAACAUAUAUACUUGGUGACUGUAUUUUCUAAAUCAAAAAUUGGAGUGCAUUGUCUAGAAAUGGAAUAAAAUCUUUUAAGUCUUUACGCUUUCCAUAAUUUACUAAGUACUCAACCUUUAGGAAAACGCAUCCAGUGUUUCAAGGAGCAAUUGGGAGCUGACCUCAUAUAACAUGCAUGUGCACAUGUACAGAUACCUGGUCUAAUGUCUCCAGGAGUGUAGGUAAUAGACUGGCAUAGUCAGGACUAAACAAUAUACAAUAUACAAUAUGUUCUUUGUGAAGUGAGUCAGAGGACUUUUUUUAGGGUUGAAUUGGACCCUCCCAACAAAGUAUUUUUUAUCAAACCAGAGUUGGACUCAGCAAUUACUCCUACACAGAAUGGAGUUUCCUUCUGUUCAAAUGGGAGGUUGAUGGGUUACUUUAGAAAUUCUGUUUCUCCUGGGUGGUGUCUGCUAUUGUCAAUGGGCUACUUUUACAUGAUAAAUAAUGUGCAGAUAAGACACUAGGCCUUACCCAAUUUUCCAAGGUGUUAAGGAUAAGUACUGCAUGAUAAGUGUUUAUAAGAAGACAGGAUGUGAAAGCCUAUCCUUGCUCUGGGCCUGGAGGAUAGCCCUGAACACUCUGUCAGGCUAAAUCACAUUUCAGGGGUGGGGGUGAUUUUAAGGAAAUAUGUGAUAUACUUAGAUACCUAUUUAUAAAGUGAAACUUUACAAGCAUAUGAAAAUAUGAAACUAUUUUUUUAAAUAUAAGACUUUACUCACCUCUUAAAUUUCUUAAAUUGUUGAACAUCCUCUCCCAUCCUUUACCCCCAGGAAAAUGAGUAGAAGAACACCCUUUUGGCUUCUCCAUCCAAAGAGUCUCAAAAAUGACCAGACUUUUAAAAACUACAACUCAUUAGAAAUUUUUCUACAUUGUUCCAGAAGCUUCAAACCUUAAAAAACCAAAACUUAACAAAACUCCCUGCUUUGUGAGUUCCCUGGUGGCUCAGCAGGUUAAGGAUCCAGUGCUGUCACUGAUGUGGCUUGGGUCAAUACUGUGGCAUGUUUUCAAUCCCUGACCUGGAAACUUCUGGAAAUGCCCUGGGCAUGGCCAACCCCCACCCCCAACCCCCCAAAACCCUGGUUUGAAUGUAAAUUAUCUCUAACUCCUCUAACACUUCAAGUCUCUCCUAUGACUCAGCAAACUUUACUGAGUUUACUCAGCAAAUUUUAUUCUGGCUCUAUUCUCCUAUAGCUUAUAAGCUCCUAGAAAUCAGGAACUUUAUUAUAUUCAUUUAAAAGAUAAUUUGUUACUGAGACCAGCUUAAUGUAAUUAUAUAGUAGAGAAAUUUAAAAAAGAGUAAAUAUUAUUAAAUACGUAUAUGUCAACGAGGUAAAACUAUUUUGGGAUAUGAAGUAGAGCCUUGAGUCUACAGAAAUCCUACUUUAAUUAUGUUCCAUCAAGGUCCUGGAGUCUGGUCACUGAGUGGGUGGAUAACAAAGGGUUACUAUGUUCGGGCAUCGUAAGUUAUGGGAAAGAUCAUAAAUUAUCUUGAUGACUCAUUUCCUCUAGUCACUCUAGCACUUCCAGUAUAGGGAACACUUUCCUGUUGCUUUUCUUUAAAUUCACCAGAUAGAAAUGGUGGAAAAGAACUUGAAAUUAAGGUUUUUCAUGAUUUAAUGUAUAGAUAAAGCUUCAACUCUUAGAACCAUUGUAAUAACCAAUUGAUCGCAAAGGCCAUACCCAAGGUGACUCAGUAUUUUAAGUGCCAUUUUGAAGAGGAGUGGCUGGUGACCCCGGAGGCUAUUUCAUCUUAAGUCACCCAGGAUGCUCCCCAUCUGUGUGCAGAGUAUACAAGGCUAUGUAACAAAGGCCCCCUGUUCUUCACUCGGAGAUUGAAAAGAAAGCAGAAGGAAAGACUCGCUUUAAUUUCUGGGUGAUUUCUACUAUCAGAAUCUCUGAAAUGCAAUUCAAAACCUUAAAGGUUCUGUCACUUCUAGAUCCCCCCACCCCCGUGCCUAUAACCAAAUUUACCCACAAAUUUUUUUUAUUCAUGUGCACAUUCAUUAGUAUAGACAAAUGGCUGUAUUUUGUUCUUUAGUUUCUUACCUAUUUGUGUAUAUAUUUUUAGAUAGUGUUUAAAAAGUAUUUAAGGAUAGCCCUAAACAAAUACCUGCUGAAUAAAGAUUUCUGAAUUACCCUCUAUAAACGUCUCCUGGAAAUCUGCCUGUGGAUUACUGCUCUGUGGCUGCUAAUUGUCUCACUUCCUUGUCUUUGUUCUCCUUCCAGGAUCCUUUGGCAUCUGCUUCACUUCAUUGUUCUCUCAUUUUUCAUUUUUUCACAUAGGCUGAGCUAAUUAACUGCACAUUGGCAGUUGCAAGGAUAUUAAUUCUGUCUAAUGCUUUGAAAAAUACUUCAUGUGAUUAUAUAUUUAUGAAUAAAAAUUCAUUCUACACAUUUUCUCCUUAUUCUUCCCUUUGAAAAGAGGAAAGAGAUCAUCCCCAGGACCCUGAACUAGGGCCCACUCCCUUCACUAAUAAAUUCUUCCAUGAAUUUUACAUCUCUUAUUGCCGAAACUUUGGCUGUUAUAGAUGUUUUUCAUUAAAAAGCCUACUUUUUAUUGUUGCAGUGUAUUUCCUGUUUUCCUUUUCCUCAGUUCCCACACCUUGUUUCAGGACUCACCUCCAAUGAUGGAUUUACAGAGGGACCUGUUAACAGGGCAAUAACCACAACCUCCCCCUCUGCUACUGCCUGUCAGCGCUCCCACCCAAGUGGCAUGAAGUCCCUGUGUGGUUCCUUUUCUAUUUACAGACUGGAGCCCUUUUUGUGCAUGGGGACAUCUCCGAGGGAGACAGCCUCAGAUCUCAAAUGGACCUCAGGGGCCCCACUUGCCCCUAAGAUUUAGCAAAAAUUAAACAGAAUUUCUCCACACGAGUCUCCCUGAGUUUAAAAGCCAAGGACAUAUUUUUCUGCUGUUGCCAGAGAUGGAUUGAAGAGAAUACUGCUUGGGACAACCAGAUGCUGUGUGCAGAGUGUGAAGGUGCGCUAGAUACAAAUUAGCUUUGAGGAGAUAAGUCCAAAGACUCCAGAGGGCCUUUUAGAUCAUUGCCUUCGUCAGAGGCAGAUGUAAACCUUAACAAGAUAAGGGCUGAUAUGUGAGGUUUUAUAACAAAUUUGGUAUUAAUACCUGGGGUUAUUAGUGCUACUUCAAAUUAUGAACACAUUAGCUCCAAUCUCUUGCCCAUACUUCCUUCUUUAUGUGACUUGAUAAUCAGUCUGUCCGAAUCAAUCAAUCUCUCUCUCAGUAGACCAGUAGACCUUAAAUACUUAAGAACAUAGUGUAACAUGUAAACAUAUCAUCUUUAAUGGUUUUUCUUCACCAUUUUAUGGUAGGUAUUUAAUGGAGUCAAGAGUAGUUGGGGCUAAUUUUAAUAGUAAAUUAUUCUUUUAUCAGUCAUAUUCCUAAAGACGAAAAUCAACUUAUUCCCAAACUAACAGCUGUAGCUUUCUUGCAUCAGGAAAUUGACCAGAGAGACAAACUCGGGCGACUCUCCUACAGUAAUUCAAAGGUGUUCUGUCAGAUGAAGUUUCUCAUCUUCUUUCAAGGCCAGGCCAGGCUCUCAAAUGACAAAACAGAAGAAUUUGUUGGGAGAGUAAAAAUAAAUUAUCUAUCAAACAUCACAACAACCUCUGAGAAUUACAAUCUUUACUCACCAUGGUGGUUUACGUUCAAGGUAGAUAUCUUUGUUCAUUACUGUCCUGGUAAGAAUUCUCACAAGUUCAUUUUGCUGAGAGAAAGAAAUAAUUUCUUUAACUCCUCUGAAGAAGUCAUAAUAGGCUUUCAGAUCUAUAAUGGCUUGUCAGAAGAAACAGAUUACUGAUAAUCUAGUAUCUAAGAGUGCAAUGACAGAAAGAAGUUAGUAAAGACUUUAAAAAUGGGAGCUGCCCAAAGAUGUAGAGUAAUGAGCUCCUUAUAACUAAACAUAUUACAGUCAAAGAUAAAUGGCCAUCAGGCAUGGAUGCUACACCGUAUAUUCUCACACCAGUUGGGAGGUUGUGUUAGAUAUCUACUCAGUUUACUUCACACGAUCUGACAAAAUUUCCAAAUUUCUUGCCAUUUGCACCUUCCGGACAAGCUGAGUCAACCUUAAAAGGCAAUGUUCAAAGUUUUGUAUAAUAUUCAGAUGGGCUCUAGCUAGGAUAGAAUGUAAAAUGGCUACUGAACAAUGGCCUUUAUUAAUGUAAUCAAAAAUUAUGUUAGAUUUUUUCAUAGCCAAACUAUAUUGCCAAUUCAUAGUGAAUUUGUGAUAAAUUAAAAUCCCCAGAGUUUUACUGCUGUGAAUUCAAAGAACCCAGCCUCCUUUAUCCUGUUCUUGCAUAAUUGAUUUUUAAAUCCUGGAUGUGUUUAUAUUUAUUGCUGAUGAAGUCUGUAUUAUUGAUUCUAAUGUCAAGACAAUUUUUCAUCUCUUAUUAGCUUAUUGCCUUAAAUAUUUCUCCCAGCUUUGUAGCAUUUCAAACUGUAUCAAACACAUUUUCUACAUCUUACAAAUUGCUGACAGAAGUUGAAAAAAAACCGAAUCUAGUGACACUGAUGGAGCCUUCCCAGAUGAAAUUUUUUUGUCACUCUUCUCCAUAAAGGAAAUUCUCUAAAGAACCUACAGUUUUUAAGGAAAUGUUUAUACUUUAAUUACUGAAAAUAACUGUUUAUCCAUCUUUGAAAAGGACACAAAACAUAGUAAAAUAGGAUUGACGUGAGGAUUUCCUACGAGUCUUUUUUAAGUUAUCUCAUACUGAAAAAUACAGGAACUUGGAUAGGGACCUCCAACGCACACUGGGUUAAUCAAUAACCUUUGGUUUUG
rnacentral:lncRNA from 1 species